UCCCUUUUGGCUCAGUUGGUAAAGAAUCUGCCUGCAAAGCGGGAGACCUGGGUUCAAUCCCUGGGUUGGGAA
rnacentral:tRNA from 1 species